GGUUCGAUGGUGUAGUUGGUUAUCACGUCUGUCUCACAUCAGAAAUUUGAUAUUAGUCUCUGUGCACAGGAGGUCUCCGGUUCGAACCCGGGUCGAACCA